rnacentral:rRNA from 1 species
UACAGAGGUCCCGAGCGUUGUUCGGAUUCACUGGGCGUAAAGGGUGCGUAGGUGGCGUGGUAAGUUUGAUGUGAAAGCUCAGGGCUUAACCCUGAAAUGGCAUUGAAUACUACCAUGCUGGAGGUUUGGAGGGGGGACUGGAAUUCUUGGUGUAGCAGUGAAAUGCGUAGAUAUCAAGAGGAACACCAGUGGCGAAGGCGAGUCCCUGGACAACACCUGACACUGAGGCACGAAAGCUAGGGGAGCAAACAGG